ensembl:antisense Gm16536 predicted gene 16536
AUCUAAGCAUCCUACUGGGGUUGGCAUCUUAGCUUUCCCAUUUUGUAUAUGUGCGUCCUUGGGCAAGUUGCUUAACCUCUGUGUACCUGUUCUCUUGUUCUAAAUUGAAGAUAAUAACAGUGCCUACCUCAAAGGUUACCACAAGGAUUACAUAGGUCAAAAGGCUGAAAGCACUAAGUAGGUCCUGGCAGAUCCCAGGCACUUGGUAAGUACUAACUUCGUUACCUUGUGCGGGUAGGUGUUCUCUAAACCUAAAACAAAUGCCUUGUGUGGUAUUUGUAACUUCUAGUACUUUUAUGUAGUUAUUCUCAUUCACCAUACAUUAUAAUGGAGAGAAGGGUGGCUCAGCACGCACAAAGCCACGGGCUUGAGCUCUGAUGCUGCAUGGUAGUAUAUGCCUGUAGAGCACUUGAAAGUCAGAGAAAGGAGGACCAGGAGUUCAAGGUCAUCUUUAGCUACCUAGCAAGUCUGAGGUCAGCGUGGGCUACAUAAGACCCUAUCUCAAAAAAGCCAAAAAAGGGGGCUGUUGAGAUAGGUAAGGGCACCUGCUACCAAGUCUGAUGACCUAAGUUCAACCCCAGGGAGACCUACUAGUUACUGAAAAUUGUCCUCUAACCUCCAUACACAAGCUGUGGCACAUGCCCCAUCCUCAUCCCAAUAAAUGUAAAACAAAAUCUAGGGAAAGAGACCCUAAAUGUUGGCAUUUGGAUAUGCCAAGCAUAAGGACUAACACUUCAUACAUGGGCUUUGACCUUUACAGUCUGUGAGAACGCUUGUGUAUUUCUACCUCUGCAUUGUAGAUGAGGAGUCUGGCACUGUAAUGAGGAGCCUGAGGGCACUUAGUAACAGCAGGACUCUAGUCAGGUCCAACCUCUGCCUCACAAAAGCCUUGCCCAAGGCUGGAGAGGCAGUGACUAGAGUCCAGAAAGGAACUCACUCUUUCAUGUUUUCAUUACUAUACUUAAGCCAUGUGGUCCAGGCUCUGUGACUACUCUGCCAGGACCCGCCCUUCACCUUAGGGAUUGCCUCGUGAUUGCUGACCUCAGCACAGAUCCUGUGCUUCCACCCUCAUGGCUCUCACACACUGUGAGACUAUUCCCUUAUGCUCACGAGAAUCCCCUCCAUCCCAUUACCUCCUUGCAGUCCAUCUUGAGAUCUUGACCAUUGAUUUCCACACGUACAAUGAUCACUUCAUAAUACCACUCCCGCCGGAUGGGUGUGUACCAGAGACUGCCCGUGUAUAGCGAGUGGUCGAUACCACCAAUGAUCUAAAAGAAAAAGAGACAGAUACCUAUGUCCUAGCACAGAAGGAGAGCAAGUUAUCCAAGACUAAAUAACAAGAUCAGCUAUUUCUUGGGGUGCCAAGAUUCUCUCUAAUCUCCCAUCAUGCCCCAUGCAUGGUAAUGUUUAGUUUCCUAAAUGUGUUCAGGAGAAGAAACACAUCGGGAUUAUUUGUAUCAAAAUCUAUAGCCCUUGACCGAAAGUUGUUUAAGCCUAAGCUAGUACAGUAACUGUGGAAUGAACUGAUUGUAUGCUGCUUUCAUACGUUUUCUUGUCUUUGCUUGUUGGAGAAUACUUGUUACUGUCCUAAUUAAUAAAUGGGCUUGAACUGA